AAGACUAUAGACCUGCGGAGUACCUGCGGAAGGAUCAUUAUCGUAUUGUAACAAUUGGGGGGGCCACCGUGGGCAGUCGCUGACCCUUUGAAAGGGGGGUCGUGCACGCCCCCAUAGUGUCAUCCUCAUACAAUCCAACUCACCUCUGUGCAUCACCGCGUGGGUUCCUUUCUGGGUCGAGUCAGACUGGCUCAGAAAAAAGGGGCUUGCGUUUUCCAUACAAAUACCCUUAUAAAUCCA
rnacentral:misc_RNA from 1 species